rnacentral:rRNA from 1 species
CUUUCCCUCUGUCGGCAGGCCUAACACAUGCAAGUCGAGCGGAUGAAGGGAGCUUGCUCCUGGAUUCAGCGGCGGACGGGUGAGUAAUGCCUAGGAAUCUGCCUGGUAGUGGGGGAUAACGUCCGGAAACGGGCGCUAAUACCGCAUACGUCCUGAGGGAGAAAGUGGGGGAUCUUCGGACCUCACGCUAUCAGAUGAGCCUAGGUCGGAUUAGCUAGUUGGUGGGGUAAAGGCCUACCAAGGCGACGAUCCGUAACUGGUCUGAGAGGAUGAUCAGUCACACUGGAACUGAGACACGGUCCAGACUCCUACGGGAGGCAGCAGUGGGGAAUAUUGGACAAUGGGCGAAAGCCUGAUCCAGCCAUGCCGCGUGUGUGAAGAAGGUCUUCGGAUUGUAAAGCACUUUAAGUUGGGAGGAAGGGCAGUAAGUUAAUACCUUGCUGUUUUGACGUUACCAACAGAAUAAGCACCGGCUAACUUCGUG